GCAAAAUUGCGGCCGCGACAUCGAGGAUAUUCCUGCGCAAAACCUUGGCCGCCUGCAGCGCGGCUUCGCCGCCAAUGCCGGCACCGCGCGACGCCCAGGUGCCGCCGCCGUAAGGCGUGUUAUCGGNGAAUGACGCGCACGCGCUCCAUCGACACGCCAAGCACGCUGCCGACGAUCUGCGCGGUCAGGGAUUCCGAUCCCUGCCCUUGCUCCGUGAUGCUGGUCUGACAAAUCACACGGCCGGUGG
rnacentral:misc_RNA from 1 species